CCUUACGGCCCCUAAACCUUAUU
rnacentral:miRNA from 1 species